AGUGAACGCUGGCGGUAGGCCUAACACAUGCAAGUCGAACGGCAGCACAGUAAGAGCUUGCUCUUACGGGUGGCGAGUGGCGGACGGGUGAGGAAUACAUCGGAAUCUACUUUUUCGUGGGGGAUAACGUAGGGAAACUUACGCUAAUACCGCAUACGACCUACGGGUGAAAGCAGGGGAUCUUCGGACCUUGCGCGAUUGAAUGAGCCGAUGUCGGAUUAGCUAGUUGGCGGGGUAAAGGCCCACCAAGGCGACGAUCCGUAGCUGGACUGAGAGGAUGAUCAGCCACACUGGAACUGAGACACGGUCCAGACUCCUACGGGAGGCAGCAGUGCGGAAUAUUGGACAAUGGGCGCAAGCCUGAUCCAGCCAUACCGCGUGGGUGAAGAAGGCCUUCGGGUUGUAAAGCCCUUUUGUUGGGAAAGAAAAGCAGCAGGUUAAUACCCCGCUGUUCUGACGGUACCCAAAGAAUAAGCACCGGCUAACUUCGUG
rnacentral:rRNA from 1 species